GACGAACGCUGGCGCGUGCUUAACACAUGCAAGUCGAACGGAAAGGCCCUGCUUUUGUGGGGUGCUCGGGUGGCGAACGGGGGAGUAACACGUGAGUAACCUGCCCUUGACUUUGGGGUAACUUCAGGAAACUGGGGCUAAUACCGGAUAAGAACUCCUUGUGCCUGGGGGGGGGUGGAAAGUUUCGGCGGUUGGGGGUGGACUCGCGGCUUAUCAGCUUGUUGGUGGGGUAGUGGCUUACCAAGGCUUUGACGGGUAGCCGGCCUGAGAGGGUGACCGGCCACAUUGGGACUGAGAUACGGCCCAGACUCCUACGGGAGGCAGCAGUGGGGAAUAUUGCACAAUGGGCGGAAGCCUGAUGCAGCAACGCCGCGUGCGGGAUGACGGCCUUCGGGUUGUAAACCGCUUUCGCCUGUGACGAAGCGUGAGUGACGGUAAUGGGUAAAGAAGCACCGGCUAACUACGUG
rnacentral:rRNA from 1 species